GACGAAGGGGGCUAGCGUUGUUCGGAAUUACUGGGCGUAAAGCGCGUGUAGGUGGCGAUGUAAGUCGGGUGUGAAAUCCCUCAGCUUAACUGAGGAAGUGCACUCGAUACUGUGUCGCUUGAGUGUUGGAGGGGAUGGCGGAAUUCCCGGUGUAGAGGUGAAAUUCGUAGAUAUCGGGAGGAACACCUGUGGCGAAGGCGGCCAUCUGGACAACUACUGACACUGAGACGCGAAAGCGUGGGUAGCAAACAGG
rnacentral:rRNA from 1 species